GAGAAAAGAAGCUAAAGUGAAUUCAUCUAGAGCUUUGAUAGGUAUACAAGUCUGCAACAUUGAAAACGAGCUCGUCUUUUUUAAUUCGCCGCAGUCUUGUAUUUGGAGUUGGCUUGAUUAGUGUGAUCAUGAACUUCUUGGUGGAGCUUCUACAUGCGAGUUGCCAUUUGUUCAACUUCUAAGCUAAAAUCCACAGAAGAAGGCAAAUUGGCGAACUUGGCUUGUGCAAGAACAAGAUUCCUUUGUUUUGGAUGAUCUCCACUGAAGCAACGUAUAGGAGCUCAAGGCUUACCUCCACUUACUUGUUGAAACAAAUUCAUUAUGCAAUCUCUCCGUUCAUGAUGCAAGCUACCACAUCAGAUUAUCAGUUAGCAAUAUUCAGUCCGUUACAACCCAUGACAGUAAGGAAAUUGAAAUGGAAGACUUGCCUUUUUUUAAGCAUUAAUGCCUCUUAAAUAUGCCUCAUUCUCACCAAGAAAUGUAUAUAUUAUUGUGAGCAUUUUUUCAGCAUUUAC